UACGUAGGGGGCAAGCGUUGUCCGGAUUUAUUGGGCGUAAAGAGCGUGUAGGCGGCUUUACAGGUCCGUUGUGAAAACUCGAGGCUCAACCUCGAGACGCCGGUGGAAACCGUAAAGCUAGAGUCCGGAAGAGGAGAGUGGAAUUCCUGGUGUGGCGGUGAAAUGCGCAGAUAUCAGGAGGAACACCCGUGGCGAAAGCGGCUCUCUGGGACGGUACUGACGCUGAGACGCGAAAGCGUGGGGAGCAAACAGG
rnacentral:rRNA from 1 species